rnacentral:rRNA from 1 species
UACAGAGGUCUCAAGCGUUAAUCGGAAUUACUGGGCGUAAAGAGCGUGUAGGCGGCCCGGUAAGUCCGCUGUGAAAGUCGGGGGCUCAACCCUCGAAUGCCGGUGGAUACUGCCGGGCUAGAGUCCGGAAGAGGCGAGUGGAACUCCUGGUGUAGCGGUGGAAUGCGCAGAUAUCAGGAAGAACACCAACGGCGAAGGCAGCUCGCUGGGACGGUACUGACGCUGAGACGCGAAAGCGUGGGGAGCGAACAGG